CCAGGAACGUUAGCGGCGCGCUUAACACAUGCAAGUCGUACGAGAAAGUCUCCUUCGGGGGGCGAGUAAAGUGGCGCACGGGUGAGUAACACCCGGGUAUCUACCUUUUGGCGGGGGACAACAUCUUGAAAAGGGUGCUAAUACCGCAUAAGUCCACUUCGGUGGGGAAAGAUGGCCUCUCCUUGGAAGCUAUCACCAAAAGAUGAGCCUGCGUCCCAUCAGCUAGUUGGCAGGGUAAAAGCCUACCAAGGCAACGACGGGUAGCUGGUCUGAGAGGAUGAUCAGUCACACUGGAACUGAGACACGGUCCAGACUCCUACGGGAGGCAGCAGUGGGGAAUAUUGCGCAAUGGGCGAAAGCCUGACGCAGCGACGCCGCGNGGGUGAUGAAGGUCCUCGGAUGCUUAAAGCCCUGUGGGAGAGGGAAGAUUC
rnacentral:rRNA from 1 species